AGUCGAGCGGUAGCAGUCCUUCGGGAGCUGACGAGCGGCGGACGGGUGAGGAAUGCUUGGGAAUCUGCCCGAUAGAGGGGGAUAACUACGGGAAACUGUAGCUAAUACCGCAUGAUCUCUUAGGAGCAAAGCGGCGGACCUUCGGGCCUCGCGCUAUCGGAUGAGCCCAAGUGGGAUUAGCUAGUUGGUAGGGUAAAGGCCUACCAAGGCGACGAUCUCUAACUGGUCUGAGAGGAUGAUCAGUCACACUGGAACUGAGACACGGUCCAGACUCCUACGGGAGGCAGCAGUGGGGAAUAUUGGACAAUGGGGGCAACCCUGAUCCAGCCAUGCCGCGUGGGUGAAGAAGGCCUUCGGGUUGUAAAGCCCUUUUGGCGGGGAGGAAAGGGUGUGAGGUGAAUAAUCUCGCACUUUGACGUUACCCCGCAGAAAUAAGCACCGGCAAACUCCCGUGCCCAGCAGCCCGCGGUAAUACGGAGGGGUGCAAGCGUUAAUCGGAAUUACUGGGGCGUAAAGCGCAUGCAGGCGGUCUGUUAAGUCAGAGUGUGAAAUCCCCCGGGGCUUAACCUGGGAACUGCAUUUUGAAACUGG
rnacentral:rRNA from 1 species